rnacentral:rRNA from 1 species
AACGUAGGUGGCAAGCGUUAUCCGGAAUUACUGGGCGUAAAGGGUGUGCAGGCGGGGUGGCAAGUGGUGUAUGAAAUAUCCCAGCUUAACUGGGAGGGGUUAUGCCAGACUGCUACUCUAGAGGACGAGAGAGGGGCGUGGAAUUCUUGGUGUAGCAGUGAAAUGCGUAGAUAUCAAGAGGAACACCAGUGGCGAAGGCGAGUCCCUGGACAACACCUGACACUGAGGCACGAAAGCUAGGGGAGCAAACAGG